rnacentral:rRNA from 1 species
GAUUCCCGGGCCCUACGGGGCGCAGCAGGNCGCGAAACCCUUUACCAAUGCACGCCAGUGCGAUAAGGGGAUCCCGAGUGCACAGGCAUAGAGCCUGUGCUUUUCUGAACCGUAGGGAGGUUCAGGAACAAGAGCUGGGCAAGACCGGUGCCAGCCGCCGCGGUAAUACCGGCAGCUCGAGUGAUGGCCGAUCUUAUUGGGCCUAAAGCGUCCGUAGCUGGCCUUGCAAGUCCGUCGGGAAAUCCACCCGCUCAACGGGUGGGCGUCCGGCGGAAACUGUGAGGCUUGGGACCGGGAGGCUUGAAGGGUACGUCCGGGGUAGGAGUGAAAUCCCGUAAUCCUGGACGGACCGCCGAUGGGGAAACCACUUCAAGAGAACGGAUCCGACAGUGAGGGACGAAAGCUAGGGUCUCGAACCGGAUUAGAUACCCGGGUAGUCCUAGCUGUAAACGAUGCCUGUUAGGUGUGACUCCCACUACGAGUGGGUGUUGUGCCGUAGGGAAGCCGCUAAACAGGCCGCCUGGGAAGUACGUCUGCAAGGAUGAAACUUAAAGGAAUUGGCGGGGGAGCACUACAACCGGAGGAGCCUGCGGUUUAAUUGGACUCAACGCCGGACAUCUCACCAGCAUCGACUGUGGUAAUGACGGUCAGGUUGAUGACCUUACCCGAGCCACAGAGAGGAGGUGCAUGGCCGCCGUCAGCUCGUACCGUGAGGCGUCCUGUUAAGUCAGGCAACGAGCGAGACCCGCAUCCUUACUUGCCAGCAGCACCGCGAGGUGGCUGGGGACAGUAGGGAGACCGCCGUGGCUAACACGGAGGAAGGAACGGGCAACGGUAGGUCAGUAUGCCCCGAAUAUGCUGGGCAACACGCGGGCUACAAUGGCCGAGACAAUGGGUUCCAACGCCGAGAGGCGACGGUAAUCUCAGAAACUCGGUCGUAGUUCGGAUUGUGGACUGAAACUCGUCCACAUGAAGCUGGAUUCGGUAGUAAUCGCGGUCAGAAGC